GACGAACGCUGGCGGCGUGCUUAACACAUGCAAGUCGAACGGGCCUUGUCCCCUUUUUUUUUGGGGGUGGGGUUAGUGGCGAACGGGUGAGUAACACGUGAGUAACCUGCCCCUCACUUCUGGAUAACCGCUUGAAAGGGUGGCUAAUACGGGGUGUUCUGGCCUGCUCGCAUGGGUGGGUUUGGAAAGAUUCGACCGGUUUUGGUUGUUUUGGUGGGGGAUGGGCUCGCGGCCUAUCAGCUUGUUGGUGGGGUGAUGGCCUGCCAAGGCUUUGACGGGUAGCCGGUCUGAGAGGGUGGGCGGUCACACUGGGACUGAGACACGGCCCAGACUCCUACGGGAGGCAGCAGUGGGGAAUAUUGCACAAUGGGCGCAAGCCUGAUGCAGCGACGCCGCGUGAGGGAUGGAGGCCUUCGGGUUGUGAACCUCUUUCGCCAGUGAAGAAGGUCCUGCUCUUUGUGGUGGGGUUGACGGUAGCUGGGUUAAUGAAGCGCCGGCUAACUACGUG
rnacentral:rRNA from 1 species